ACUCAAAUGAAUUGACGGGGGCCCGCACAAGCGGUGGAGCAUGUGGUUCAAUUCGAUGCAACGCGAAAAACCUUACCUACCCUUGACAUCCUCGGAAUCCUUCAGAGAUGAGGGAGUGCCUUCGGGAACCGAGAGACAGGUGGUGCAUGGCUGUCGUCAGCUCGUGUCGUGAGAUGUUGGGUUAAGUCCCGUAACGAGCGCAACCCUCGCCCUUAGUUGCCAACAGGUAAAGCUGGGAACUCUAAGGGGACUGCCGGUGAUAAACCGGAGGAAGGCGGGGAUGAUGUCAAGUCCUCAUGCCCCUUACGGGUAGGGCUACACACGUGCUACAAUGGGGAGUACAAAGGGUUGCUAAGCCGCGAGGUGGCGCUAAUCCCAAAAAACUACUCACAGUCCGGAUUGGAGUCUGCAACUCGACUCCAUGAAGCUGGAAUCGCUAGUAAUCGCAAAUCAGCAUGUUGCGGUGAAUACGUUCCCGGGCCUUGUACACACCGCCCGU
rnacentral:rRNA from 1 species